rnacentral:rRNA from 1 species
CCUACGGGUGGCUGCAGUGGGGAAUAUUGCACAAUGGGGGAAACCCUGAUGCAGCGACGCCGCGUGGAGGAAGAAGGUCUUCGGAUUGUAAACUCCUGUCCCAGGGGACGAUAAUGACGGUACCCUGGGAGGAAGCACCGGCUAACUACGUGCCAGCAGCCGCGGUAAAACGUAGGGUGCAAGCGUUGUCCGGAAUUACUGGGUGUAAAGGGAGCGCAGGCGGAUUGGUAAGUUGGGAGUGAAAACUAUGGGCUCAACCCAUAAAUUGCUUUCAAAACUACCAGUCUUGAGUGGUGUAGAGGUAGGCGGAAUUCCCGGUGUAGCGGUGGAAUGCGUAGAUAUCGGGAGGAACACCAGUGGCGAAGGCGGCCUACUGGGCACUAACUGACGCUGAGGCUCGAAAGCGUGGGUAGCAAACAGGAUUAGAUACCCCAGUAGUC